rnacentral:rRNA from 1 species
GGAUGCGAUCAUACCAGCACUAAAGCACCGGAUCCCAUCAGAACUCCGAGUCCGUAUGAGAAAGUUACGCCUAUUUUAAGAAAUGACACCAUAAUGACGCCAAAGCAUGUCAGAUGCGAUCAUAGUUAAGCGUGCUUUGGCGAGAGUAGUACUAGGAUGGGUGACCUCCUGGGAAGUCCUCGUGUUGCAUCCC